CACUUUGCUCUAAUGAACAAAAUUUUUUACCUUUACUGUGAUAUGGCAGCUUAGCAACGACCAGCAAGAAAUUUUGAACAAUUUUUGAAAGAAAAAUUCAGUUAAGGUAAAAUUGUAGGGCUUACCAGGUGCCAGCAGCCGCGGUCAUACUUGGCUACAAAAAUUUUGCUUUUGGGUGCUCCAGUAGUCUUAAAAUUAAAAAUUUUAGUGAAAUAUUUUUUUAAUAAAACCCAUCUGACUAAAAAGUUGAGUAAACUUCCUUAGUAAACUAGGAUUAGAUACCCUACUAUAUUCAAGCCCUAAUUAAAUAACACCUAAGCACUAAAAUCAUUCGAUUAAAACUUAAAAGAACAUGGCGGUCACAAAAAGGUUCAGGGGAACUUACCAAGUAAUAGAUAACCCACAAGACACCCUCCUUAUUUUUUUAAGUUUGUAUACCGCCGCUCUUGGCAUCACUUAUGGUGAUGCCACGAAAGCCUUUGCAAAAAGACAGGUCAUGAUGCAGCUAAUAUUUAAAGGUUUUUGGCGAGUUACAAUAAAACCUCUUUUUUUUAUAAAAAAUCUAAAAUUUUUUAUAGAAGUGGACUUGAAAGUAAUAUUUUAAAGUAGAAAUAAAAUCUGAAUUUUGCUCUUUUGUGGUGCACAAAUCGCCCGUCACUCUCGUUGAAAAAGGAGAUAAGUCGUAACACAGUAGGGGUAACGGAAGUUGCUCCU
rnacentral:ncRNA from 1 species